UACAACCUCCGUUACGAAUGGCCAAGGGAAGCGUGGAAAUUUUAAUCAAUAUAUUUACCUGCUCGAAAGCAACUCCACAUAUCUAUAGAUAGAUAUAUUUUCGAAUCGAGUAGUCAGUCAGUGUUCUAUCAACCGAUAUAGAAAUCUUCCAUUACUUAAGACUCCUAAAAUCCGUCAAGAAAGACAGUUUGUGAUUCGUUGUACAAUUAAUAAUGACUGCCGAUGACACAAUCACAAAGCACGAUAAUUAUUAUGGGAUUAAUAAUACGUCGACACCUCUUAACCAGUUCGUCACUGAACUUUUUAUUCGCGCGACGCACUUUCACGCAAGAGAGGGGCGUCUCGACGUGCAGUCAGGCCCCUAUGGACGAAGUCUACGUUGCACCUGCCGACGUCACGUGAUUUUCAAGCUCUAAUCCUUUCCUAUGACGUGCUACCCGUGUUGCCGUAUUAUCCGUAAAUAUAUCAAUUCUUUCUACUGUCUCUUUCCACGUCCUGAAACUGGAUUGCUGAGAAACGGGAUGGAUCGAUGUAACGCGGGAGAGGCUGCGGACGGCCGUUUCGCGUCGCGACGCCGACGCCAGUGCCGUGGCCAUAAGGAAAACGCGGGAGCACCAAAUAAGGACGAGACUCGGAGCCGGCGCGUGGGUUAUAUUUAAAAUAUCAAUAUUUAGCCAUAAUAAUUCAUAAUGAAAAUAUAAAUUUCACCAAAAAAAAAUUUCUUUCAUAAUCCACGUGCCGACGAUAAUGCGCAUAUUAGUUAACGAUAAAGAUUACUUUUAUUUUAAAUAAAAUUUGUAUUCAAAUUACAGGCUGAUUAGACGAAUCGAUGCAUCCAAUAGCGAAAUUACGUAAACAUGAAUAUUGUAAAUCAGCCAUUGUUCUAUAUUCCUAGGAAUUAAAUGCGAAUCAUAAAUCUCAACAAGCAGAAUAUACCAUGGAUAAUUACUGUAUAAAGCUUACACGUGUAUCUGUAUAAAAUAAUAGCAUGGUUAUAGAUAUUU